AGUGAACGCUGGCGGUAGGCCUAACACAUGCAAGUCGAACGGCAGCACAGUAAGAGCUUGCUCUUACGGGUGGCGAGUGGCGGACGGGUGAGGAAUACAUCGGAAUCUACUUUUUCGUGGGGGAUAACGUAGGGAAACUUACGCUAAUACCGCAUACGACCUACGGGUGAAAGCAGGGGAUCUUCGGACCUUGCGCGAUUGAAUGAGCCGACGUCGGAUUAGCUAGUUGGCGGGGUAAAGGCCCACCAAGGCGACGAUCCGUAGCUGGUCUGAGAGGAUGAUCAGCCACACUGGAACUGAGACACGGUCCAGACUCCUACGGGAGGCAGCAGUGGGGAAUAUUGGACAAUGGGCGCAAGCCUGAUCCAGCCAUACCGCGUGGGUGAAGAAGGCCUUCGGGUUUUAAAGCCCUUUUGUUGGGAAAGAAAAGCAGCAGGUUAAUACCCCGCUGUUCUGACGGUACCCAAAGAAUAAGCACCGGCUAACUUCGUG
rnacentral:rRNA from 1 species